rnacentral:rRNA from 1 species
AUAUCAAUAAGCGGAGGAAAAGAAACUAACAAGGAUUCCCCUAGUAACGGCGAGUGAAGCGGGAAGAGCUCAAAUUUAAAAUCUGGUUUGCUUGCAAACCCGAGUUGUAGUCUGAAGAAACGUUUUCCAUGAAAGCUGAGGCACAAGUCCUUUGGAACAGGGCAUCAUAGAGGGUGAGAAUCCCGUCCAUGGUCUCAAGCCUUUCAUUUUGUGAUACGUUUUCUAAGAGUCAGGUUGUUUGGGAAUGCAGCCUAAAAUGGGUGGUAAAUUUCAUCUAAAGCUAAAUAUUGGCGAGAGACCGAUAGCGCACAAGUAGAGUGAUCGAAAGAUGAAAAGCACUUUGAAAGAGAGUUAAACAGUAC